UAUGAAGCUUUACUAUAACUUGACAUUGACUUUGGGCUCCUUUUGCGCAGUCUAGGUGGGAAGGCUAUGAUAUCUUGUUUCCGGGCAAGAUGGAGCCGUUUUUGAGAGACCACUCUGAAAGAGCUAAAAUUCUAAUAGUGAUCCUUGAAUCAGGACACUUGACAGUGUCAGGCGGGUAGUUUUUCUGGGGCGGAAUCCUCCUAAAAAGUAACGGAGGUGCGCAAAGGUUCCCUCAGGCUGGACGGAAAUCAGCUGUAGAGUGUAAAGGCAUAAGGGAGCUUGACUGCAAGACCUACAAGUCGAGCAGGGGCGAAAGCCGGCCUUAGUGAUCCGACGGUACCGCGUGGAAGGGCCGUCGCUCAACGGAUAAAAGUUACUCUAG
rnacentral:misc_RNA from 1 species